rnacentral:misc_RNA from 1 species
AACGCACAUUGCGCCCCUUGGUAUUCCGAGGGGCAUGCCUGUUCGAGCGUCAUUAUAACCACUCAAGCUUUGGCUUGGUAUUGGGGUACGCGAUUUCGCGGCCCUUAAAACCAGUGGCGGUGCCGUCUGGCUCUAAGCGUAGUAAUUUUCUCGCUACAGAGUCCAGGUGGUUGCUUGCCAAAACCCCCCUAUUUUCUAUGGUUGACCUCGGAUCAGGUAGGGAUACCCGCUGAACUUAA